CAGUUGUGGACGUUGCGACAAAUUGUUCGUGUGCACAGUCCUGUUGGCUGUUUCUGGAAUGAUUGCACUCUACGUGAUCAUUUUGCUCCUGCUUCAUUACCACAACUAAUUUUCAUGAAGUAAUACAAAUGUUUAAGUAAAGUUCAAUAAACGUUUUGUUGUUCAAUGUCAAAGCACAUUGUCUUCAUUCUUACACGAUGAUGGAUGAUGAAAAAAGAGAAAUAUGGGGCUGCAUCAAGAGUUGUGAUAUUCAAACUGUAUGUAAUGGACAAAAUUGCACCUGAGUCAAAAUGUGAUUGCCAGAAUUAUAAUGUACUCAUACAUACAUAUAUAGUGUUAUUGUAGCCUUACCAAUAAAUUGAAACAUUUUAGGGGACCACUGUAUAAUAACACUCCCCUUAUAGAUGGCUAAAAAACAGUUUAUAGAUAGGUUAUUAAUUAAGCUAAAAACACUUGUGAGAUUAUUAUAUUAUCUUAUGCCACGUUAUACCCCUAUGGAAGAAAUAUAGUAUCAUCAGAAUCCAACUAUUUUUAGACAUUGAAUUUCCCAUUCCCUAACUCUCUGUGAACGGUACUCAUGGCCAUUGAUCAGUGUUCUUUGAUCAGUGGGUUUUGGUCAGUGAUUGUUGAUCAAUGGUCAUGGGAAUUUGCAUAAUUAUGAUUAAGGAACUGACCUCACAGCCCAUUGUUCCUUCAGUGGGCUGGUUUCAGUCAUUAUACUCGAACUGAGGAAAACGUUUGACUAACUCAAAGAAAAUUUCCACGCCUCCCCUGCCUGUCUGCAGAGGCAGUUUUGAAUUUAGGAGCGGCAAGAUGGCAGUGGCAAACCCUGGCGGUUCUCCGAUUAUGCAAGAUGAAAUUAUUCAGUCAGCAAGACACUUGCUGCAGUUGCUGACAUCAUCCAACCGAACUGCUGCUGUGAUGAAUCAGAAUACAAGAGAACAGAGUCAAGGUGGCCAGGGUACCAGCUCGGUCAACCCUGAAAGACCAUCCGUUCAGCAAGAAAUGACCAGGUGAAAAAGUCGUAAACUAAACAUUCUGCAUGAGCAUGAAAUUUAGGAUGCAACUUUAUGUCUUACCUGCUCUUACCUACUCAGGGCUUGAAUUACAACAACAGUCAAUCACAUAAAAAAUAUUUUUGGUAGUUCUGUGUCUCUGUCUCUCUCCUCCAAACCCAGAUGGCUGCUGGUACUGAGCCGGGUUCAGUUUUUCCUCUGCACUGUCGCUUCAUGCUGCUCAGUGUGAGGGAUUGUUGAGGUUGAGUCCAUAUGUCCUGGGAACAACUGCUGGGCAAUGACACUGUUAGAUUUGUAUUGUUUAUUGUCAUUUAUGCUUAGAAAUAUUUACUCAUAUAUGCUUAGAAGUAUAUAAUCAUUUGUAGAUUGAAAG